AAGUUCCUUCUGCUCCCGAUGUUAGCAACUAUUUGAUUUCGGAGGAUGAUCCUUCAGCUGUAAAUGGGAAUAAAGAUUCACUUGGAUUUGAUGGAAUGGCUGAUAGUGAGGUUGAAAGAAGACUGAAGGAAGCAAUGUUGGCUUCAACAAGUGUUCCUUCUCAAAUGACAAAUUUGGAUCCAAGACUUGUACCAGCUCUCCAGUACCCUGUCCCACCUGUUAUUUCACAACCAAGCAUUCAAGGCCCAGUGGUGCCUUUUCCUACUCAACAUCUCCCUCAAGUGACUUCUGUACUUAAAUCAUCAGUGACUCAAAUAAGUCCUCAG
rnacentral:misc_RNA from 1 species